GCAUAUCAAUAAGCGGAGGAAAAGAAAAUAACAAUGAUUCCCUUAGUAACGGCGAGUGAAGGGGGAUAAGCUCAAAUUUUAAAUCUGCUAGGUUUUACCUGUCAGAGUUGUAUUUUGAAGAAGCGUUUUCCGCGUCUCGGUUGACCCAAGUCCUUUGGGAUAAGGUAUCAUGGAGGGUGAGAAUCCCGUCCGGUUGACCUUAUGACGCUUUACGAUACGUUUUCAAAGAGUCGAGUUGUUUGGGAUUGCAGCUCAAAAUGGGAGGUAAAUUUCUCCUAAGGCUAAAUAUUGGCGAGAGACCGAUAGCGAACAAGUACCGUGAGGGAAAGAUGAAAAGAACUUUGAAAAGAGAGUAAAAUAGUACGUGAAAUUGUUGAAAGGGAAACGAUUGAAGUCAGUCGUACCGACGAGAAAUCAGCUCUUUGAGUGCGAACUUGUAGGCGUGCGUGAGCUUUACGGUCUCGCUGUUUGCAAUGUUUGUUCUUUUUGGGUGUACUUUUUCGUAUGGUAGGCCAACAUCAGUUUCGAAUAUCAUAAAAUGACCGGAGGAAUGUAGCUUCGAUCUCGUAUUGAAGUGUUAUAGCCUUUGGUAGAUGUGGUGUUUGGGACUGAGGAUUGCAACGAAUAUCCUUUGGGCUAUCCGUCUGAUCUCUGAAAGUUGCUUAGGUGCCGAAAGCGUGCUUACGGUUAUUUAAGUUGACGGUCAAAAGGUUAGAACGUGAUUACAUUCGUUAAGGAUGUUGACGUA
rnacentral:rRNA from 1 species